AUUGAACGCUGGCGGCAGGCCUAACACAUGCAAGUCGAACGAGCGGCGGACGGGUGAGUAAUGUCUGGGAAACUGCCUGAUGGAGGGGGAUAACUACUGGAAACGGUAGCUAAUACCGCAUACCAUCAGAUGUGCCCAGAUGGGAUUAGCUGGUAGGUGGGGUAAUGGCUCACCAAGGCGACGAUCCCUAGCUGGUCUGAGAGGAUGACCAGCCACACUGGAACUGAGACACGGUCCAGACUCCUACGGGAGGCAGCAGUGGGGAAUAUUGCACAAUGGGCGCAAGCCUGAUGCAGCCAGGCCGCGUGGAUGAAGAAGGCCUUCGGGUUGUAAAGUACUUUCAGCGGGGAGGCGUUACCCGCAGAAGAAGCACCGGCUAACUCCGUGCCAGCAGCCGCGGUAAUAC
rnacentral:rRNA from 1 species